AUUGAACGCUGGCGGCGUGCUUAACACAUGCAAGUCGUGCGGUAACAGGCGUAGCAAUACGUGCUGACGAGCGGCGAACGGGUGCGUAAUACAUGGGAAUCUGCCUUUUAGUGGGAUAACCGGCGAAGCCGGGCUAAUGCCGCAUAAGAUCUUCGGAUGAAAGCGGGGAGUCGUAAGACCUCGCGCUGAUAGAUGAGCCCACUGCCGGA
rnacentral:rRNA from 1 species